rnacentral:rRNA from 1 species
CGACCGCUGGCGGCGUGCUUAACACAUGCAAGUCGAACGGAAAGGCCCCUUUGGGGGUACUCGAGUGGCGAACGGGUGAGUAACACGUGAGUAACCUGCCCUUGACUUCGGGAUAACUUCAGGAAACUGGGGCUAAUACCGGAUAGGAAUCCUUGCUGCAUGGUGGGGGUUGGAAAGCUUCGGCGGUUUUGGAUGGACUCACGGCUUAUCAGCUUGUUGGUGGGGUAGUGGCUUACCAAGGCUUUGACGGGUAGCCGGCCUGAGAGGGCGACCGGCCACAUUGGGACUGAGAUACGGCCCAGACUCCUACGGGAGGCAGCAGUGGGGAAUAUUGCACAAUGGGCGGAAGCCUGAUGCAGCAACGCCGCGUGCGGGAUGACGGCCUUCGGGUUGUAAACCGCUUUCAGCAGGGGCGAAGCUUGUGGUGACGGUACCUGCAGAAGAAGCACCGGCUAACUACGUG